CGGCGGACGGGUGAGUAACACGUGGGUGACCUACCUAUAAGACUGGGAUAACUCCGGGAAACCGGGGCUAAUACCGGAUAACACAUGAAACCGCAUGGUUUCAUGAUGAAAGACGGUUUUGCUGUCACUUAUAGAUGGACCCGCGGCGUAUUAGCUAGUUGGUAAGGUAACGGCUUACCAAGGCAACGAUACGUAGCCGACCUGAGAGGGUGAUCGGCCACACUGGAACUGAGACACGGUCCAGACUCCUACGGGAGGCAGCAGCC
rnacentral:rRNA from 1 species